rnacentral:rRNA from 1 species
AUUGAACGCUGGCGGCAUGCCUUACACAUGCUAGUCGAACGGCAGCGGACCUUCGGGUGCCGGCGAGUGGCGAACGGGUGAGUAAUAUAUCGGAACGUACCUUUCAGUGGGGGAUAACGUAGCGAAAGUUACGCUAAUACCGCAUAUUCUGUGAGCAGGAAAGCAGGGGAUCGCAAGACCUUGCGCUGAUUGAGCGGCCGAUAUCAGAUUAGCUAGUUGGUGAGGUAAAGGCUCACCAAGGCGACGAUCUGUAGCGGGUCUGAGAGGAUGAUCCGCCACACUGGAACUGAGACACGGUCCAGACUCCUACGGGAGGCAGCAGUGGGGAAUUUUGGACAAUGGGCGCAAGCCUGAUCCAGCCAUUCCGCGUGAGUGAAGAAGGCC